CAACAAUCAGUAAGAUUUACAAGAGGCAUCAUAAUAGUUUGAUAGCUGUCAACAUUACAAGAAACAUCCCACCGUCUAUCAUGGGAGCAAAGAUGUCGAAAGGUGUUUACAUCAACUCCAAAGCUUUCCCAACGAAGACAAGAGGCAACCAAACUAUAGGUAACCUUGCAGCCAACAGGGUGUCUGUCUUUAAUGCAUUUUGCUUGCAUUUCAGACUCUGUUGCCAUGCUUCAAAAGUGGAUAUACUUAACUUCACAGGGUCUAUCCGUUCAUGCUUGCUGCAAGUAGGAGUACAAUAUGGAUAGCUCAAGUCUUCAAUGAGUAGCUUAGUAGCAGCAGCUAUGCAACUAUACCAAUACUAUAGAAAAUUUCCUCGAUGUCAACUCAUAUUUCAUAGAAACCUUUUAAACCAUCUGAGUACAUUGAGAGCAGAUCAUAACAAUUGGGCCUAGGAACAGUGAGCCCAAACACUCCGGAGCGGUGUGACAUAUGGCAAAUAGGUGGUACGGCAAAGCGUGAAUGUCUCGCUACAGGACGAGAGUAUUUAUAUGGCAACCGGAAGUUGGUGGCCUAAAGGGGUGUUUGGUUUAUAGGGACUAAUUUUUAGUUCUUAUAUUUUAUUCCAUUUUAGUUCCAAAAUUACUAAAUAUAGAAAUUAAAACUUUAUUUUAAUUUCUAUAUUUAGUAAUUUAUAGACUAAAAUG
rnacentral:misc_RNA from 1 species